rnacentral:rRNA from 1 species
UACGAAGGGUGCAAGCGUUACUCGGAAUUACUGGGCGUAAAGCGCGCGUAGGUGGCCUCGUAAGUCCGCUGUGAAAGUCAAAGGCUCAACCUUUGAAAGCCGGUGGAUACUGCGGGGCUAGAGUACGGAAGAGGCGAGUGGAAUUCCUGGUGUAGCGGUGGAAUGCGCAGAUAUCAGGAGGAACACCAAUAGCGAAGGCAGCUCGCUGGGACGUAACUGACACUGAGGCGCGAAAGCGUGGGGAGCGAACAGG